UGGGGAAUUUUGGACAAUGGGCGAAAGCCUGAUCCAGCAAUGCCGCGUGCAGGAUGAAGGCCUUCGGGUUGUAAACUGCUUUUGUACGGAACGAAAAAGCUUCUCCUAAUACGAGAGGCCCAUGACGGUACCGUAAGAAUAAGCACCGGCUAACUACGUGCCAGCAGCCGCGGUAAUACGUAGGGUGCAAGCGUUAAUCGGAAUUACUGGGCGUAAAGCGUGCGCAGGCGGUGAUGUAAGACAGGUGUGAAAUCCCCGGGCUUAACCUGGGAAUUGCCUUUGUGACUGCAAGGCUUGAGUGCGGCAGGGGGGAUGGAAUUCCGCGUGUAGCAGUGAAAUGCGUAGAUAUGCGGAGGAACACCGAUGGCGAAGGCAAUCCCCUGGGCCUGCACUGACGCUCAUGCACGAAAGCGUGGGGAGCAAACA
rnacentral:rRNA from 1 species